AUACGUAGGUGGCGAGCGUUGUCCGGAUUUACUGGGUGUAAAGGGCGCGUAGGCGGGCUAUCAAGUCAGAUGUGAAAUACCGGGGCUUAACUCCGGAGCUGCAUUUGAAACUGACAGUCUUGAGUAUCGGAGAGGAAAGCGGAAUUCCUAGUGUAGCGGUGAAAUGCGUAGAUAUUAGGAGGAACACCAGUGGCGAAGGCGGCCUGCUGGACGACAACUGACGCUGAGGCGCGAAAGCGUGGGGAGCAAACAGGAUUAGAUACCCUGGUAGUCCACGCUGUAAACGAUGAAUACUAGGUGUAGGGGGUAUCGACUCCCUCUGUGCCGCAGUUAACACAAUAAGUAUUCCGCCUGGGGAGUACGGCCGCAAGGUUUAAACUUAAAGGAAUUGACGGGG
rnacentral:rRNA from 1 species